ACUUGGGACUGAAAGACCCCCGCAGCGGAGAGACCCUCACUCAAGUCUUGGGAUGACGUGAACCCCCAAGAACUCACACAAGACC
rnacentral:pre_miRNA from 14 species